rnacentral:lncRNA from 1 species
AGCUCUUGUGGGAUGCUUUCUCCUGGAGUAUAGAUGGGAUCAGUGACAUGCUUUUAACCAAUAGAAUUUGGAAAAGAUGGAAUGUACAUGAUUAGAUGCACAUGAUUAUGUUACAUAUGAUUGUAACAUUGAUCUUGCAAGGAAACUCUCUCCCUUUCAGUCUUUGAGGAAGAAAGAAGCCAUUUUGGGAAGACUCACAUGGCAAGAACUGAUGGCAAUCUAUGACCAACAGCUGGCAAGAAACAGAGGCCAUCUGUCUAGUAGCCUGCAAAGUAAAGAGUAUUGCCAACAACCACGUGAACUUGGAAGUGGGUCCUUCCCCAUUUGAACCUUGGAUAAAAUCACAGCUCUGGCUGACACAAUGAAGUUUGCAGCCUUGUGAGACCCCAGGCAUAGAACUCAGCUAAAUUGUGCCCAGACACUUGACUUGCAGGGGCUUUGAGAUAAUAGAUAUGUAUUAUUUUAAGCAGCUAAAUUCUGGUAAUAUUGUUAUGUGGCAAUAAGUAACUAAUACAGAUUUUCAUUCCUGCACAUAAUAAUUAUAAUAUUCUGAGAACAGAGUUAUAAAAGAUUUUGCAAUCUUUAAAUUCUGGAAAAAUAACAGUUUACUAUUUUACUAAAGGUGCUGUUGACUAAUAUGGCAUUAUGUAAAAAUGUGGAUGUGUAACCGAUGUGAUUCUGCAAUUUGUAUUUGGGGUAAAAAUGGGAGUUCAUAACCCACUUGAAGCAAAUGUAUGAAAGAUGAUAUGUCAUGAGCUUUGUAAUGUUUUGAACAACCAAUACAAAAAAAAGGUGCUGUUGAAAGUAUUUCUCAAAGUCAAAGCAGAUAAUUUUCAUCAUUCUGUAGAAUAAUAAAUGUUGCUGAAUAUACUGUUUUUAUAGUUUCCUAUUAAAAUUCAAGAGUUAUUAUAUACCAUGUUGGGAAUAUGUGUCAGUGGAGAUUCUGUCUACAGGUUUAGUUUUAAUUUUGGUAAAAUAUGAUAUUAAAUUUGCUAUCUUAACCAUCUUAAGUGGUACAAUCAUCUGAAUUUGAAACUCUACCCAUUAAACAAAAACACUUUUCUUCCUUCUACUCCCUGUUCUACUUUAUGUUUCUACAAAUUCUACUUUAUGUUUCUACAAAU